rnacentral:misc_RNA from 1 species
GAAAUGCGAUAAUUAAUGUGAAUUGCAGAAUUCAGUGAAUCAUCGAGUCUUUGAACGCACAUUGCGCCCCCUGGUAUUCCGGGGGGCAUGCCUGUCCGAGCGUCAUUGCUGCCCUCAAGCACGGCUUGUGUGUUGGGCUUCCGUCCCUGGCAACGGGGACGGGCCCAAAAGACAGUGGCGGCACCAUGUCUGGUCCUCGAGCGUAUGGGGCUUUGUCACCCGCUCCCGUAGGUCCAGCUGGCAGUUAGCCUCGCAACCAAUCUUUUUAACCAGGUUGACCUCGGAUCAGGUAGGGAUACCCGCUGAACUUAAGC